rnacentral:sRNA from 1 species
AGACGGGAGUCCCCUCGAGGUGAAGCCGCUGAGUUCCCGGGCCCCGCCAGGCUUCCCUGGGAGAGCCGACGGACCCCCCGCUCCCAGCACACACAACUUCCCUGCUUUUCACCGGGACUGGCGGAGCGGCCGGCGGACUUAGACGCGGGGACUUCAGGGCAGGGGGCGCCCCCUGCCCGGGUCACCAGUCGGGGCGAGGGGACGUCUCCUCGCCCCCAGCUGCUCUGCUCGGAUGGCGCCGCCGGCUGAGUGACGGGGGCGGCGCGCAGGACUUCCCAGCUCGGACCUCUUGCCUUCGAGGGGAAAGAUAGAAGGGGCUCCCCGCCCCGGGUCCGUACUCCACCCCGCUCCGGACUCCGCUUUGGAAUGGUUCAAACCACUCCAUUGAGACCCAGAGCAGCAGUUCUGAAGAGAUAGUGCCCAGCCCUCCCUCGCCACCCCCUCUACCCCGCAUCUACAAGCCUUGCUUUGUCUGUCAGGACAAGUCCUCAGGCUACCACUAUGGGGUCAGCGCCUGUGAGGGCUGCAAGGGCUUCUUCCGCCGCAGCAUCCAGAAGAACAUGGU